UCUCCGUAGGUGAGUAAAACCCCCUGGAACGAUUCCCAACCCAUCGAAAUCGAAUGCUAACUUUCUCUUACAGGUGAACCUGCGGAGGGAUCAUUACCGAGCGAGGGCCCAAGGCCCGAACUCCCACCCUUGUGGUCGCAUCAGACGAACAGGUGCCCCGGGGGCGACCCGGCCCCGGCUGGGCCCCCCGGCGGACGACCGCCCAACCCUGAGACAUGUCGUCGCAGUCAGACAAACAAAUGAAGCAAAACUUUCAACAAUGGAUCUCUUGGUUCUGGCAUCGAUGAAGAACGCAGC
rnacentral:misc_RNA from 1 species